UUUGAAUACUCAAAAUGUUCCACUCCACGGAAAUCUUUAGUAAAAGGCGAAAGAUUUAUGCGAUCUGAAGUGAAACAAGAGUGUACUGCAGAACGCAAGUCAGAGGACAGACCCUAUUUUCUCAGAUGUUUUUCUGCGUCACGGUUUCAUUCUUGUCCCAUUGUUUUACUUUUGAGUGGAAUUGGAACGCGUCAGAUAGAGUAGGACUCGUAGCGCAGGAGACGUAAAGUGUACACUAAAAUACGCAUCACUUGAUUUAUUUAAUGGAAUGAGCUUUAUUUCAUUAUGACUAAAGGGAUGUUGGGAGCUCUGCAUGGAUGUUCCUCCAUUCAGGAUUCACAGUAACUCCAACUCUAUUCUUUACGCCCCACUAUCUAUAACUAAUAUCUAUUCUAAUUUGUUAUUUGAUAAAAGGUAAUAUAGUCUCGAUUUAUUGGACAAUGUGAGAGCUGUUAAUUUGGUGCAAGAACAAAAAGCAACGCAUUCAACGGUUGGUCCGAAGUAGGCUCUUAAUAUCACGCACGUUUGAAGGAUUAAUUUAGACAAAUAAGAAAGCCCCGCGUUAAGCAGGGCAUCAAAAAAUUGGUGAAUACUCAAAAUGUUCCACUCCACGGAAAUCUUUAGUAAAAGGCGAAAGAUUUAUGCGAUCUGAAGUGAAACAAGAGCGUACUACCGAUUUCAAGUCAGAGGACAGACCCUACUUUCUGGGAUGUAUCUCUGCGUCACGGUUUCAUUCUCGUCCCAUUGUUUCACUUUUGAGUGGAAUUUGAACACGUCUGAUAGAGUCGUAACGCAGAAGACGUAAAGUGUACACUAAAAUACGCAUCACUUGAUUUAUUUAAUGUAAUGAGCUUUAUUCCAUUAUGCCUAAAGGGAUGUUGGGGGCUCUGCAUGGCUGUUCCUCCAUUCAGGAUUCACAGUAACUCCAACUUUAUACUUUACGCCCCACUAUCUUCUAUUCUCAUUUGUUAUUUGAUGAAGAACGGGCCAAAUAGAUGAAGGACGUUGGCUAAACGUUAAUAGUGUCGAUUUGUUGGACAAUGUGAGAGCUGUUAAUUUGGUUAAAGAACCAAAUGCAACGCCUUCAAUGGUUAUUGAGAAAUAAGCGCUUAUUGUCAUGCACGUUUGAAUGAUUAAUUUAGACAAUUUAGAAAGCCCCACAGUAAAGCAGGGCAUCAAAAAAUUGGUGAAUACUCAAAAUGUUCCACUCCACGGAAAUCUUUAGUAAAAGGCGAAAGAUUUAUGCGAUCUGAAGUGAAACAAGAGUGUACUACCGAGUUUAAGUCAGAGGACAGAACCUACUUUCUGGGAUGUAUCUCUGCGUCACGGUUUCAUUCUUGUCCCAUUGUUUCACUUUUGAUUGGAAUUAGAAUACGUCGGAUAGAGUCGUAACGCAGAAGCCGUAAAGUGUACACUAAAAUACGCAUCCUUUGAUUUCUCUAAAGGGGUUGUACUUUAUUUGGUGUGCCGAAAGGGAUGCUGGGAGCUCUGACAGGCUGUUCCUCCAUUCAGUAUUUUAAAUAACUCCAAGUCUAUACUUUACGACCCACUAUCUAUCUAUUCUCAUUUGUUAUUUGAUGAAGAACGGGCCAAAUAGAUGAAGGACGUUGGCUAAAAAAUAAUAGUCUCGAUUUGUUGGACAAUGUGAGAGCUAUUAAUUUGGUUAAAGGACCCAAUGCAACGCAGUCAACGAUUAAUGAGAAGUAGGCGCACGUUUGAAUGAUUAAUUUCGACAAUUGAGAAAGCCCCGCGGUAAAGCAAGGCAUCAAAAAAUUGGUGAAUACUCAAAAUGUUCCACUCCACGGAAAUCUUUAGUAAAAGGCGAAAGAUUUAUGCGAUCUGAAGUGAAACAAGAGUGUACUACCGAUUUCCAAGUCAGACGACAGACCCUACUUUCUGGGAUGUAUCUAUGCAUCACGGUUUAAUUCUUGUCCCAUUGAUUCACUUUUGAGUGGAAUUGGAUCACGUCGGAUAGAGUCGUAACGCAGAAGCCGUAAAGUGUACGCUAAAAUACGCAUCCUUUGAUUUCUUUAAUGGGUUGUACUUUAUUUGGUGUGCCGAAAGGGAUGCUGGGAGCUCUGACAGGCUGUUCCUCCAUUCGGUAUUUUAAAUAACUCCACCUCUAUGCUUUACAACCCACGAUCUACAACUUCCAUAUAUUCUCUACACUUAAUAUUUGAUGAACAUUGACUAGAUAUAAUAUAUUCGUUGAUAUAUUUGGGACAAUGUGAAACACCUUAAAUUUAAAGAAAUAAAACACAACAGGUCACAUCUUAAAUCGAUUACUAGUGGACUGAUAGGCUUUAUCAUUUGACAGCUUAGGAAGCCCCGCAAUGAAGCAGGGCAUCAAAAAAUUGGUGAAUACUCAUAAUGUUCCACUCCACGGAAAUCUUUAGUAAAAGGCGAAAGAUUUAUGCGAUCUGAAGUGAAACAAGAGUGUAAUGACGAUUAUGUGUCCCGGGACCGACCAGUUUCGCCGGUAUACACCUCUACGUCAUGGUUUUGAUCUAAUCCCGUUGUUUUACUCUUGUCCAUAGUGGAAUUGGAAUAUGCACAUAAAGUCGUAACUCAGAAGACAUGUGUACACGAAAAGUCUCAUCAAGGUGGCUUCUUCUAUCCAAUGAUUGUUAUUUCAUUAUGCCGAAAGGGAUGAUGGGAGCUCUAUCUGUCUGAUCCUCCACUGACGAUGGAAAUAUGCUCCACCUCUUUACACAGCACGUCACUAUCUUCACUAUCCAUGCUGGAUAUUGAACGAACAAAGCAGAUACGUACGAUAAAACUCAUAUUAAUCGAUCUACUAGAUCAUUGUUAGACUUAAGUAACCUCCUGGUAAUCAAUAUGUAUACCAAAUAGGUGUGCAGAGCCAGGAAAAGAGCUACUGCUCCAUUUGUAGGUUUAACUACAGCCCAGAAUUCAUAAUUGAGACCUGGAGACCUCAGAAAUCUAUGACAUAGGAAAAGUGUGAACAGCCAGGAAAUCGGGAUGAAGAAGGUAGAAGUGUUUAUGGUCCAACUUCUCGGUAUAGUACUGCGUUGGCCUGGAAAACACAGAAUCCAAUCAGCAAUCACCUCAAUCAACAGCAGCGGGGAGAAUGGUCAUGUGGCUAUUCAGCCACUCAUAGUAUGUAAAUAUAUUUAAGGUAAUCUUUAUCCUUUUUGGUUAAAGCUUGUUCAGGGAAGGGGGGAAGGUACAGUUUGAGAAAAGUCUAGUGUAUGAGUAAAACAUACAAAUAAAGAUGCCAUGUCAUACAGUGUUGAGUUACUGCACCAAGCUAUGAAAAUGUAGAGGGUGAAUGUUUACC